rnacentral:rRNA from 1 species
AUUGAACGCUGGCGGCAUGCCUUACACAUGCAAGUCGAACGGUAACGCGGGGCAACCUGGCGACGAGUGGCGAACGGGUGAGUAAUGCAUCGGAACGUGCCUGGGAGGGGGGGAUAACUGCUCGAAAGAGCAGCUAAUACCGCAUACGACCUGAGGGUGAAAGGGGGGGAUCGCAAGACCUCUCGCUAUCAGCUCGGCGGAUGUCGGAUUAGCGAGUUGGUGGGGUAAAGGCCCACCAAGGCGACGAUCCGUAGCUGGUCUGAGAGGACGACCAGCCACACUGGGACUGAGACACGGCCCAGACCCCUACGGGAGGUAGCAGUGGGGAAUUUUGGACAAUGGACGCAAGUCUGAUCCAGCCAUGCCGCGUGCGGGAAGAAGGCCUUCGGGUUGUAAACCGCUUUUGUCAGGGAAGAAAUCUUCUGGGUUAAUACCUCGGGAGGAUGACGGUACCUGAAGAAUAAGCACCGGCUAACUACGUGCCAGCAGCCGCAGUAA